ACGGAAGGCAGCAGUGGGGAAUAUUGGGCAAUGGGCGAAAGCCUGACCCAGCAACGCCGCGUGAAGGAAGAAGGUCUUCGGAUUGUAAACUUCUUUUAUGAGGGACGAAGGACGUGACGGUACCUCAUGAAUAAGCUACGGCUAACUACGUGCCAGCAGCCGCGGUAAUACGUAGGUAGCGAGCGUUAUCCGGAUUUACUGGGUGUAAAGGGCGCGUAGGCGGGGAAGCAAGUCAGGUGUGAAAUCUAUGGGCUUAACCCAUAAACUGCACUUGAAACUGUUUUUCUUGAGUGCUGGAGAGGUAGACGGAAUUCCUAGUGUAGCGGUGAAAUGCGUAGAUAUUAGGAAGAACACCAGUGGCGAAGGCGGCCUACUGGACAGUAACUGACGCUGAGGCGCGAAAGCGUGGGGAGCAAACAGGAUUAGAUACCCUGGUA
rnacentral:rRNA from 1 species